rfam:Methanobacterium sp. SWAN-1, complete genome.
GGGCCGGUAGCACAGUCUGGCAGUGCGCAGGACUCUUAAUCCUGUCAUCGAGGGUUCAAAUCCCUCUCGGCCCG